AUUUGAAUAAACAUAUUUAUUAGCCCCAGGAAUUUCUAGAAAACCAACCCAUUUUCUGGAUUGCAAUGAUUAGAAACUGGCUUUUGCAAUUCCACAGUUCACAUUUGACAUUUCACAGUGCAAAUAGGAAUAUUUGAACAACUUGAAAGUCGUCUCAUUUUAAUCUCUGUUUCCACUGAAAGAAGCAGUUAUGAUAUAUAUAAAUAUAUUGUCACAAUGUCCUAACUCUAGUUACUUAGUAAUAUUAAUUAGCCAAAUGAAGUAAAAAAGAAAAAAAACCCCUUCAUUCCAUUUCUCUCUACCAACCAUACUCUAUUUGUGAUAGGCAUUUUUUCUUUGUAAAAAAAUUGUGUUUAUCAUUUUCAUUAGCUUCAUUUCAGGAGGGCAUUUGUUACUUUGUUUAAGCCUGCAAAGACUUUCCAAAGUUAGUUGUCACAAUGUAUCAGCAGCUGUCCCCACCUUCUGUUUUCCUCUCUGCCCCAGCACCCCAGAGCCUGGCAAGCAGCGAGCCAGAAACUUCAAGUUGUGUAGUUCAUUCGGUUGAGUUUUCCAAGAAGCAGAUUUACCUUGAUUGAAACGAACCUAAAAUAAGCAACCCCACCAGCAAGUACCCUAGGCUAGACCUAUAAUAGAGGCAGCGGCCUGGCCUGAUCUGGGAAGCUAUGGGUAAUGUUACCUUCUGGUGUUCCAUCUUCUGCUGCUGGGCUUAAUGUGCUUAGAAAUGACUUUGUAGCCAUUAUUAAUACAUGCAUAUUAAAUCUAUACCAUCCAUGUUUGCAGGAGAAAGGGAGAGUUUUUAUAACGGGUUGGCUUAUCCUGUCACUGUGAAGAUUGGCAGGCAUCCCACUUCAAGUCCAAAGGUUGUCAGGCCACCACGCAACCGAAGAGCAGACAUUCUAACCCAAACGCUGAUUCCUGAGGCAACACCAGCCUUUGACUCCGGUUCAGAUUCUAACAGUGUAGAACACAUACAUUGUGGAGAUUCUGCUCCAAGAAUACCCCUGGGAGAAGAGACGUACACUGUCUCACAAGCUUCGCUUCUGUCUGAAGAGCGGGUUUGAAGACAUUCCUGACUCCUUUAGGCAGCCAUGGCAGCGCCCGCAAACUGAGGAGGGCUACGCCGUCCUGCAUUUGAGAUCAGCCUAAGCUCCACUCAGAGUCCUUGUCCCAAAGAAAAUACACACAAACAGUCUCCAAAACAGACAAAUGAACCAACGAAAUCACAAGUCAAGUUGACAGCUCAGAGAAGAUAAGUACAAAGAGAUAACAUUUAUAAAGGAACUGAUAAGUGGAAGGAAGAAAGGGGAAAAAUGGAAGAAGGAAAUAAUUUAAAAAUUCCAAGAGACUCUCCAAACAGUGCAGGCUAUUGUCAUUGCUUGUGGUUGCUUCCCCAAACUUGAAGAUAAGUACAAAGAGAUAACAUUUAUAAAGGAACUGAUAAGCAGAAGGAAGAAAGGUGAAAAUGAAAGAAGAAGGAAAUAAUUUAAAAAUUCCAAGAGACUCUCCAAACAAUGUAGGCUAUUGGCAUUGCUUGUGGUUGCUUCCCCAAACUUGAAGGCAGGAAGCUUUAUGAUGUGACUGAGGUUGUUUUUUAAUCCACUCUGGAAAUCCACAGGGCACGAUAAACAGCUCUCUAGACAUGCUGAGGAUUAAGGAGCAGGCUGUGAAGACAGAAUCCGGAGAAGACCCGUAUUAGCUGAUGGCUGUGUUCGAGAUUGAGAUCGUCAGACCUGGGGUAACAAUGAAUGGAGGCUGGAUGUGAGAGAAAAUAAUCAUCAAUGUACAUACUCACACAUGUCAUUCGGAAUAGCUGUGAUGUUCACCACGGCCUUCCAAAGAAAAUAAAAGAAAGAAGAAAGAAAAGUUGAUCAUUGAAGUUCUUAAUCAUUCAAGGUAAAGCAAGUGGUCUCAUUUGUAUGUAGACAGGAAGGAC